CUGACUGGAUUAAUAAAAAAAAAAAGAGGAAGACAGAGAAAGAAAAUGUCGGGGGCUAGGGAAAGAAAGAGAAACUGCCGACCGCCGCCGACCGCCGCCGACCGCCGCCGACUGCCGUUGCCGGAGAUCUGACAACACCAUCUGGCUCGGAAUUCUUGCUAGAACCAAAGCCCCAUGUUUGAUGCGCUUGUUUCCUUGUGGGUCACAUUGUGCUUGCCUUUUCUCGCCAACUGUAUUCAUCCUACAAGGCAGCAAGGCAGCAAGGCAGGGACUCAUAACUACUGCGGGUAUUAAAAGCGUCAUUGGCAGCUCUUGCUGUCCAGCAUUAAAAGGAGACCCACCUUAUAUAAAGACUAGCUAGUUCUUCAAUCAUUCAACUGUAAACUAAAAUAAUACUCUACAAGAUAAAUUAUAAGACCAGAUUAUUACACUUCUCUUGUUCAUUACCAACCUUCACCUUUUACCGUCCUAAGUUACUGUAUGUAUUCGUUAUUUACAAUAUAGAUUUAUAGCUAAAUAGUUA